AACACUACCUGCAGUCAUGACUCAGCUGAGGGCUCCGACUGUUACGUCACGUGUCGUCCAGGCUUCCGGUUGGAGGGGUCAGCAUUGUUGACAUGUCAGGCUGACCUAGCAUGGAGUGACUCCCCUCCCUCAUGCUCGCGUUUGUCGUGCACCGCCCCAUCCCCGCCCGCCAACGGCAACUUGACCUGUUCUGGUGGGUUCCUGUUUGAGGCUGUCUGCUCUCUCACGUGUGACCCCGGCUACGUCAUCGACGGCUCAUCGACCGUCGUCUGCCAGUGGAGCCUUACCUGGACCCCCAGUGGCACUUGCUUAGAUAAUGAACCUCCUGUGUUCACUGUGUGUCCGGAUGUGACGUCAUUCGCCGCAGAGCUUGGCAAGGACACCUACGUCGACUUUAAAUUGCCAGAGGCCAUCGACAACUCCA